UUGCGAUUCACUGACUACAAUUGUGCUCUUCGUAGGCGUGGUUCGGUUUUGCCUCUGAAGUUGUGACUCUGAACUGUGUCCCUGCUUGUCCGAUCUUUGCUCCUGGGAUUGUGACCUCAGGGAUUUAUCCAGCACAUUGUGAAGGGGCUGCUGAUGUUCCGUCACUCACCCUUAAUGCCUAACUCCCAAUGGGAGAUGUCUCUUUACACCAAAGGGACUUUCCUGUGAAUGUCUGAGUUGAAAGUGAGAACAACGGGUCUCCCUUCACUGAGCAGAGGAUAUAAAACACCCCGAAACAUCUGCAUUUUCCCUCUUUCCUGCUCUCCCUUCCGGACAAUAAAGUUAGAUUAAUGGGAGGAGUCUAAGCAAGGGACUAGGGACCUUCCAGGGACUGAGGAAGAACCCACAACUUAACAAGCCGGAAGAGUAUCCCAUCACUGCUACCAGCCCGAUCCAAUCACAGUGCAAUGAUGAACUCUUCCAGCUCUAAUGUUCACAGAACCCCUAGACUCCAGGCCUGUGUUACAAGACCAUAGGACAAAGGAACAUGUGGAACAGAAGACACCUAAAACCUGAUUGUAUCAUGCCAGCAACAGACACCACUGACCUGGUAAUCAGGAGCCUGAGAUGAGCAGUGGGUGGUACCCGGACUAGCAAACAGCCCCGCAGAAUAGACCCCAAGUCCCUCCCCAACGCAGGCAGCUUCAGAUCCCUCAGAAGGGAAGGGGAGAUGAAGUGGUAUGUCAGGUCCACAGGCCAGCAGGAGACCGGUGUAAUGGCUUUCUAUGUGAACAAAAGGCAAAAGCAGAAUGAGACGCUUGUAAAGACUGAGCCCCAAUCUGUGAAGUGUGAAAAAUCCCCCUAACGCACAUGGAUGAAGAUUCAGCAGCCAGCGACCAGCAGGACUGCCACAGUCUCCUCAAGCCUGGUGUGCAGGAUAUUGUGGGUGCAUCUAGACUGGCAAGAUUUUGCGCAAAAGUGGCU